rnacentral:rRNA from 1 species
UACGGGGGGGGCAAGCGUUGUUCGGAAUUACUGGGCGUAAAGGGCUCGUAGGUGGCCAACUAAGUCAGACGUGAAAUCCCUCAGCUUAACUUGGGAACUGCGUCUGAUACUGGGAGGCUUGAGUGCGGGAGAGGGAUGUGGAAUUCCAGGUGUAGCGGUGAAAUGCGUAGAUAUCUGGAGGAACACCGGUGGCGAAGGCGGCAUCCUGGACCGACACUGACGCUGAGGCGCGAAAGCUAGGGGAGCAAACGGG